CUCUCCCAACAUGGCGGCCUCAGCAAACAAGAAGAAUAAGAAGGGGAAGACCAUCUCCCUAACAGACUUUCUCGCUGAGCAUGGAGGGACUGGUGGAGGAACCACCUAUGUCUCCAAAUCAGUCAGCUGGGCUGAUUAAACGGAUGACCUGGCAGGAGAUGUUUCAACCACCUGGCACAGUAAUGAUGAUGAUGUGUAUAGGGCACUCCAAUUGACCGUUCAAUCCUUCCCACUGCUCCAUGGGCUGCUCAGGAACCCAAUAUUGAUCAGAGGCCAUCUUCCCAAAUCACCACCCUACACUGCUUUUCUAGGGAACCUGCCCUAUGAAGUGACAGAAGAGUCUAUUAAGGAAUUCUUUAGAGGAUUAAAUAUCAGUGCAGUGCGUUUGCCACGUGAACCCAGCAAUCCCGACAGGUUGAAAGGUUUUGGUUAUGCAGAGUUUGAGGACCUAGAAUCCCUGCUCAGUGCCCUGAGUCUCAAUGAAGAGUCUCUAGGUAACAGAAGAAUUCGAGUGGAUGUUGCUGAUCAAGCUCAGGAUAAAGACAGGGAUGAUUGUUCUUUUGGGCGAGAUAGAAAUCAAGAUUCUGACAAAACAGACACAGACUGGAGGGCCCGUCCUGCCACAGACAGCUUUGGUGACUACCCGCCGAGAAGAGGUGAUGAUAGCUUUGGAGACAAGUAUCGAGAUCGCUAUGAUUCAGACCGGUACCGUGAUGGCUAUCGGGAUCGGGAUGGGUAUCGUGAUGGCCCACGCCGGGAUAUGGAUCGAUACAGAGGCCAAGAUCGCUGUGAUGACCGAGGCAGCAGAGACUAUGAUAGAGGGUAUGAUUCCAGAAUAGGCAGUGGCAGAAGAGCCUUUGGUAGUGGUUACCGUAGAGAUGAUUACAGAGGAGGAGGAGACCGAUACGAAGAUCACUAUGACAGACGAGAUGAUCGACCCUGGGGCUCUAGAGAUGAUUAUGCCCGGGAUGAUUACAGGCAUGAUGACAGAGGUCCCCCCCCAAAGACCUAAACUGAACCUAAAGCCUCGGAGUGCUCCUAAAGAAGAUGAUUCCUCUGCUAGCACCUCCCAGUCCAGUCGAGCAGCUUCUAUCUUUGGAGGGGCAAAGCCUGUUGACACGGCUGCUAGAGAAAGAGAAGUGGAAGAACGGCUACAGAAGGAGCAGGAGAAAUUGCAGCGUCAGCUAGAUGAGCCGAAGCUAGAACGACGGCCUCGGGAGAGGCAUCCAAGCUGGCGAAGUGAAGAAACUCAGGAACGGGAAAGGUCAAGGACAGGAAGUGAAUCAUCACAGACUGGGACCGCGGCCCCAUCUGAUGCUUUCUUUUGA